rnacentral:tRNA from 1 species
CCAUCGGUGGUUCAGUGGUAGAAUGCUCGCCUACAACACGGGCGGCCCGGGUUCGGUUCCCGGCCGAUGCA